CAGUCGCCGCGGUAACACGUAGGUGCCAAGCGUUGUCCGGAAUUAUUGGGCGUAAAGGGCUCGCAGGCGGUUUCUUAAGUCUGAUGUGAAAGCCCCCGGCUCAACCGGGGAGGGUCAUUGGAAACUGGGAAACUUGAGUGCAGAAGAGGAGAGUGGAAUUCCACGUGUAGCGGUGAAAUGCGUAGAGAUGUGGAGGAACACCAGUGGCGAAGGCGACUCUCUGGUCUGUAACUGACGCUGAGGAGCGAAAGCGUGGGGAGCGAACAGGAUUAGAUACCCCUGUAGUCCCUGUCUCUUAUAC
rnacentral:rRNA from 1 species